rnacentral:lncRNA from 1 species
GUAAAAUUCCAGGUUAAAUCACAUUUUGCCUCCUCUAGGCCAACCAUCACCUCCUAAAUGCUUUUAAUUAUCCUGGAAUAAAGUUGUGUGUUCCAUGUCCAGCACAAACAUGAUUUCCUGAAUUCAGAGCAAAGUCUGUGGUGUGCAGAAUGGAAGGGACAUGUACCACUUCAUGGGUCUCUACUGACUGUCAGUGCCUGGAGCAGUGUUGCAACACUUUGGAGUUCUUUCUUGAAGAAUUUCUGAGAAAGUAAGGAGGUCCUUGUACUAGUCUAACACGACAUGAGAAGAACAUCCCUGAAGGAAGUUGUUGCAUCAGACUCAGAGCUGAGCAAGCAAAUCCCUUGGGCCAUCUUUGCAGUCUGGUCACUGAGUCUGUUGAGCCUCACCUCACCUUCUAAGUUCAUUGAUGCACCCUGUUGUCCUAGAUAGAGGUGGAUCCUCAGAAGAAGAUGCUGUUCAUAUUAAACUGAAGCUCAGAAGUCUAUAUAUUCCCACAGCUGCUAGAAGCCCUAGAGAGCAUGUAGAGCUCAGAGCAGCAGCCAGCAGUGUUUGUUUCUUGUGCAUCACCCUCAGGGAAGGCAAUGCUGGUACAACUCCUGUCCUCCUAGGAAAUGAUUUCCCCUGCAGCAGAAAGGAGCUGUGCUAGCAAUGGGAAGUGUAAUUUGCAGCAUGCUGAGCCAUCUUCACUCAAUAUUGCCCUAGAUAUGGAGUUGUUUCUGCAAGUUCACAUCAUUUUGAAAUGGGAAUUUAUGUAAGUGCCUAGUUCUUAGAAGAACUCAGCAGAUUAGUACCAUAUAUUGUUGCCCUGAAAACUCAACUUUUUGAGCUUGUUGACAUAGUUUUCUAACUAACUUUCCCAGGACAGUAACUGUAAACAUAGAUAUGUAUACAUUCUUUCUGAUACACAUCUUGUGAUGGACAUCUCUCAAGUCCAGUGCGGUUGGGAAGGUGUUAUCCUGACCAUCCAAUCCCUGGCCGUGGUCAGAAAC